rnacentral:rRNA from 1 species
UGGGGAAUAUUGGACAAUGGACCGAGAGUCUGAUCCAGCAAUUCUGUGUGCACGAUGAAGUUUUUCGGAAUGUAAAGUGCUUUCAGUUGGGAAGAAAUAAAUGACGGUACCAACAGAAGAAGUGACGGCUAAAUACGUGCCAGCAGCCGCGGUAAUACGUAUGUCACGAGCGUUAUCCGGAUUUAUUGGGCGUAAAGCGCGUCUAGGUGGUUAUAUAAGUCUGAUGUGAAAAUGCAGGGCUCAACUCUGUAUUGCGUUGGAAACUGUAUAACUAGAGUACUGGAGAGGUAAGCGGAACUACAAGUGUAGAGGUGAAAUUCGUAGAUAUUUGUAGGAAUGCCGAUGGGGAAGCCAGCUUACUGGACAGAUACUGACGCUGAAGCGCGAAAGCGUGGGUAGCAAACAGGAUUAGAUACCCUGGUAGUCCACGCUGUAAACGAUGAUUACUAGGUGUUGGGGGUCGAACCUCAGCGCCCAAGCAAACGCGAUAAGUAAUCCGCCUGGGGAGUACGUACGCAAGUAUG